CUAAGGGAUGGAGACACAAGCCGAUUGCCCAGGCUCGCUAUGCAGUCAAUCUGACCUACUUGGCAAGCUCCAGGCCAGUGAGAGAUCCUGUCUCAAAAAUCAAGAUGGAUGGACGUGGUGGCAUGUGCCUUUAAUUCCAGAGACAGCCUGGCAGAGCCCUGUGAGAUCUGAUGUGUGUUCCAUACAAUGGACAGGAGCCUUGCGGAAUUAUUGAUUGAGGGAGCCGGAGGGGUCAAGGAUGCCACGGGAAGACCUACAGAGUAAACUAACCUGAGCCCGUGGGGCCUCGGACUGAACCACCAGCCAAAGAGCGUGCACGGCCUGGACCCAGGCCCAUAUGCAACAGAUGUGCAGCUUGUUCUUCACGUGGGUCCCCUAACAACUGCAGCGGGGGCUGUCUCUGACUCUGUGGUCUGUCGCUGGAUCCCUUUCACAUAGCUGGGCUGCCUUGUCUGGCCUCAGUAGGAGAAGAUGCUCCCCGCUUCGGCUUGAUGCCCCAGGGUGGGUUCGUACCCAUGGAGGCCCCCCCACUCUGAGGAUAGGGAAUAGGGGUGUGGGAGGGGUGAGAGGGUGGUACUGGAAGGAGAGGAGGGGUUCUGUGAUCGGGCUGUA